rnacentral:sRNA from 1 species
CGUCCCGGCUCACGCGUCCCCCCGCCCGCCCCCGCUUGUGCCGCCCCUACCAGAGACCCCCAGGAGCAGGAUGUCCUUCCAGGGCAAGAAAAGCAUCCCCCGGAUCACGAGUGACCGCCUUCUGAUCAGAGGUGGGAGGAUCGUGAAUGACGACCAGUCCUUUUACGCUGAUGUGCACGUGGAAGACGGCUUGAUAAACAGUUAGUAUGGUGCCUGGCUCACAGCAGGUGCUUCCUAAAUACUGGUGCCCACACCUAUUAGCGCACCUGCUUCCGUUUGUCAAGCUGCUCCCUCCUCUAGUCAAAAAAGUACCAACCAGGGACCUGAGUGGAAAACCACAGGGCGUGGCGUCUGCGUGAGGCUGGACCCUGCAGUGACCGUCCUGAGCUGCGCUGAGUGAUGCUUUGCUCCCUGGCACUCCCGAGGAGCUAGUCCAACAAAUCGGAGAAAACCUCAUCGUCCCUGGGGGCAUCAAGACCAUUGACGCCCACGGCCUGAUGGUCCUUCCUGGUGGCGUUGACGUCCACACAAGGCUGCAGAUGCCUGUCCUGGGCAUGACCCCGGCUGAUGACUUCUGUCAGGGCACCAAGGCAGCGCUAGCAGGAGGAACC